rnacentral:rRNA from 1 species
GAUGAACGCUGGCGGCGUGCUUAACACAUGCAAGUCGAACGAAGCAGCUUUCUUGCUUGCAAGAAAGCUGACUUAGUGGCGGACGGGUGAGUAACGCGUGGGUAACCUGCCUCAUACAGGGGGAUAACAGUUGGAAACGACUGCUAAGACCGCAUAACCCGCUAGUGUCGCAUGACACGGACGGAAAAUAUUUAUAGGUAUGAGAUGAGCCCGCGUCUGAUUAGCUAGUUGGUAAGGUAACGGCUUACCAAGGCGACGAUCAGUAGCCGACUUGAGAGAGUGAUCGGCCACAUUGGGACUGAGACACGGCCCAAACUCCUACGGGAGGCAGCAGUGGGGAAUAUUGCACAAUGGGGGAAACCCUGAUGCAGCAACGCCGCGUGAGUGAUGAAGGUCUUCGGGUUGUAAACUGCUUUUAUAAGUGAAGAAUAUGACGGUAACUUAUGAAUAAGGAUCGGCUAACUCCGUGCCAGCAGCCGCUGUAAGAC